rfam:Medicago truncatula strain A17 chromosome 7, whole genome shotgun sequence.
AUAUAAGAGAAAGUUCACUUUUUAGGUUCAUCCAAUAAAUGAUGUAUUUAGUCUAUAUUAGGGACUAGAUACAUCAUUUAUUGAAUGAACCUAAAAAGUGAAUUUUCUCUCAUAA